rnacentral:misc_RNA from 1 species
AGGAAAUCUACAGUAGGGAAUAAAGGUGUUACAAUAUAACAUGUUGAAGUCAACAACUAUUGAUUCAUUUUUUAAGAGGAAAGAAAAGGCUACAAACAAUUCACAGUCUAGUGAGCCAACUCCUGUAUUUAAUGAUAAUGCAAUUGUUGAACAACUACCACCUAAAGCUCCAAGAAUUAAUCACAAAGAGGUUGAUAUCGCUUCUUUAAUUUGUGAUCUAGGCUUACGCCCUCAAAUUUAGGAAUAUCCAAUUAAUCAAUAAGAUGAAAUUCGAAG